rnacentral:rRNA from 1 species
AAGUCGUAACAAGGUUUCCGUAGGUGAACCUGCGGAAGGAUCAUUACCGAAUUGUCAACACGAGUUGUUGCUGGUCCUCAAACGGGGGCAUGUGCACGCUCUGUUCACACAUCCACUCACACCUGUGCACACUCUGUAGUUCUAUGGCCUAGGGGACUCUGUCCUCUUGCCGUGGUUCUAUGUCUUUACACACACACUGUAAUAAAGUCUUAUGGAAUGCAUGUCGCGUUUAACGCAAUACAAUACAACUUUCAGCAACGGAUCUCUUGGCUCUCGCAUCGAUGAAGAACGCAGCGAAAUGCGAUAAGUAAUGUGAAUUGCAGAAUUCAGUGAAUCAUCGAAUCUUUGAACGCACCUUGCGCCCUUUGGCUAUUCCGAAGGGCAUGCCUGUUUGAGUAUCAUGAACACCUCAACUCUCAUGGUUUACCAUGAUGAGCUUGGACUUUGGGGGUCUUGCUGGCCAGUGGUCAGCUCCUCUCAAAUGAAUCAGCUUGCCAGUGUUUGGUGGGAUCGCAGGUGUGAUAACUAUCUACGCUUGUGGUUUUCCGUCAGGUAACCUUCAGUGAUGGAGGUUCGCUGGAGCUCAUAAACGUCUCUCCUAAGCGAGGACAACUUUUUGAACGUUUGAUCUCAAAUCAGGUAGGACUACCCGCUGAACUUAA